GCGGGUAUGGUAUAACGGCAUUAUGUAACCUUCCCAAGGUUGAGACACGGGUUCGACUCCCGUUACCCGCU
rnacentral:tRNA from 2 species